rnacentral:rRNA from 1 species
CCUACGGGUGGCUGCAGUGGGGAAUUUUGGACAAUGGGGGCAACCCUGAUCCAGCCAUGCCGCGUGCGGGAAGAAGGCCUUCGGGUUGUAAACCGCUUUCGGCCGGAACGAAAUCGCCGGGGAGAACAUCCCCGGUGGAUGACGGUACCGGAAGAAGAAGCACCGGCUAACUACGUGCCAGCAGCCGCGGUAAUACGUAGGGUGCGAGCGUUAAUCGGAGUUACUGGGCGUAAAGCGCGCGCAGGCGGGUGAAAUCCCCGGGCUUAACCUGGGAACUGCGUUUGUGACUGGCGGGCUGGAGUGCGGAAGAGGGAGGUGGAAUUCCACGUGUAGCAGUGAAAUGCGUAGAGAUGUGGAGGAACACCGAUGGCGAAGGCAGCCUCCUGGUCUAGCACUGACGCUCAUGCACGAAAGCGUGGGGAGCAAACAGGAUUAGAUACCCCUGUAGUC